CCAUAUCACGUUGAAACAUCGGUUCCCGUACGAUCAGAGAAGUUAAGCAACCUCGUUCCUGGUCAGGACCUGGAUGGGUGACCGCUUAGGAAAACCAGGUGCUGUAAG